UUUAGAGUUAUACGUAAAUACUUUUUGUAACGUAAAAAUAAAAUAAAUUCAUUCAUAUUGUAGCACAAUAAACUAUUAAAUUUACAAUAUCAAGUGGACCCACAAUAACUAGAAUUCAAGAAGUUGUGAACCUACAGUUUUGGAAGACGCAAUCCAAGGAAAAUCCCCGAUGGAACCAGCUUUCUACAGACUACUCUGAUCCUGAAAUGGGUGGAAAGGAAGGUGGUGAGAUUAUAAAAUCCUAGUGAGUAAACAAACACCAUUUAAAUCAGCUAAAGCUGAGUAAAAGGAGACAAUUAAAAUAUCCCAUCACAAUACGUAUUUCACAAUUUGAAAAUUCAUCCCAACCCAUGCAAACGAUUGUAUUUCAUUUAAUUUCUCAUUAAGGCUUAUGAUUUUCAUAAACAUUUGGCUCAUGCCAUCAAAUAGUACUCUGUGACGCCUUGAUCAGAGGUGUACACUCGAGCCCACCAAGGCUGUUAAAAUUUUGUAUACACGUAAAACAUAUUUUUAGUUUGAGAAAAACACAGUCGUUCCUUGGCGUUAGCGGAGUUCAUCAUCACGAGGUGGUUCGGCGUGACGUGAACUCUAACCAUACCUCAGGAGAUACCCUACGCGCCUCUCCAACCGAGGUACAUAUAUAUAUAUCCAGAGUCUAUGUCCCUCUAAUAGGCUAGUCCACAAAAUCCGCCCACUGCAACAAGCUAAACCCACCAUACAAUAAAAUUCAUUCUAGGAUGACAUGGCAAUUAUUGUAAUUCACAGCCUUUCAAGGCUAAAUACACAUUUCAUAUAUUUCAACAUAAAUACCAAUUCAGUCAUUCAUGCAAAUAUUAUCAUAAGCCAUUUAUUCAAAUCAUAAAUUUUUCAACAUAACAAGUGGUCUCCAAUUUCUCUAUUUUUCAAAAUCAUCAUUCAAUUUUAAAACAAUUUAUAACAUCUUUUCAUGUAGACACAUUUUGUUUGUAAAACUCAAGAUUUACCAUUUAAUUUCAUUUUCAUAAAAUUUCAUCAAAAUCGAUUAAAAACAUACUUUAGAUAAUAAAAAUGAUGGUAAGGUUACUCACCUCACAAUAGUGGGAUUUCUACGUCGCUAUUACUUCGUAUAUGCGUAUAAUUAUACCUAAUUGCCCAUCACCUACUUCGUUCAACACGUUUUCCUAGCAACCAUUUAAAUUCAAUACAUUUAGUGAAUCAAUUCUACUUUUCUCUCUCUCAUUCUAUCAUAAAUCCACUCACCUAAUUCGCAUCUUAAUAUAUUUUUACUAUAAUUAAUUGCAUCCUUCGUUCACGUAAUUCUUUAGAGUAUUAACACCAGUAACUUAUUUACGGUAUUAAGUGCCUAUUUCAACCUUCUAAGCAAUUUAAAUUUACUUCAUAUCACCAAUUAACCAAUGCAUAAUUAAAUAAAAUAAUUUAGCCUCCAUAUAAUCCAAUUUCAAAAUAAAUCAUGGUGAAGAGUAAAGAAAUUUUUACCCAAUUAAGCUAGGUUGGCCCAAAUCUUCACCUUCCUUUUCUUUUGGAUUUUUCUUCCUUUGUUGUUUUUGGACUCUUAUUCAUGGACUUCUCCCAUUUCUUUUUAAUUAGGUCAUGCCCAUUCUUCCUUUAUUGGACCAUGUCCAAUUUUCCUUGCUUGUUGGGCCAUGCCCAUUUUCCUUGUUAUUUUCUUUUCCUUUCUUUUCUUUUCUUUUCUUUUCUUUUCUUUUCUUUCUUUCUUUCUCUCCCACUGUCCAGAAGCCUUGUUGUCUUCCUUUUUCUUCUCUUCACAUGCACAAAUCGUCCACUCUCUUCCUUUCUCUCCCUCUCACCACCGGUCACACUUCCUAGCUUUUUAUCUCUCAAUUUUUCAAUAACUACAGCUGCUUAUUUUGGCUCCAAAAUCAGCAGCUAUGCUGCUCUGUUUUUCCUUAAAAUUUCAGUAUCUAAGUUGCACCUUUCCUUCAAAAAAAUUUGCAGCCAAAACAACCACAAUUAACCAUUAAAACAGCACCUUAAACCUUAAAUUUUCUGCUGCAAAAUUCUGCACUUUUUGGCCUCCAAAAUCAGCAGAAAAAUGGCACUUUCCAACCUCCAAAACCAGCAGAAAAAUAGCUCUUUCCAGCCUCCAAAAUCAGCCCUUAAAUGGCUCUCUUUCCCUUCUUGAAUGGUAGCAAAAACAACCCCUCAACUCAACUCUCUUUUCCUUUUGUUUUCUUUUCUCAUGCACGGUUUUCUUUUUGUUUUUCUUUCUCUCGGCUCUUUCUUCUUCCUUUGCUCUUUUAUUUCUCCUUUACUCUCCCUCAACCGACCUCUCUUUUCU
rnacentral:lncRNA from 1 species